GUCCACGCCGUAAACGAUGGACACUAGGCGUCGGGGGAGCGACCCUCCCGGUGCCGUCGCUAACGCAGUAAGUGUCCCGCCUGGGGAGUACGGCCGCAAGGCUGAAACUCAAAGGAAUUGACGGGGGCCCGCACAAGCGGUGGAGCAUGUGGUUUAAUUCGAAGCAACGCGAAGAACCUUACCUGGGCUUGACAUGCUGGUGAAAAGCCGGUGGAAACAUCGGUCCCUCUUCGGAGCACCAGCACAGGUGCUGCAUGGCUGUCGU
rnacentral:rRNA from 1 species